UUUGGAUCUAGAAAAACAUGGAAUAAAACCGGAUUGUAACAUAUUAGUUUCCUUGUCACAUUUGUCAGAUAGAAGCAAUAGCAACAGUACUGGUACAUCGAAACCCCUUCUCUUCCUGUAAGCUCUUCAGAACUAGUUGCGCUAUGCACCAUAUUCAGUUGCGUGCAUCAGUGUAUGUGUGUGUGUUUGAGGUUUUCUCGUGGGAGGCACAGCGUACAUACGAACACAACUGGAAGGUGAGCGAAUGUUUCCUAACGUCGGUGGUGAUAGUGAAACUACACAGAGCAGAGCACAGCAUGAUCGCGAACUCGAGAGCAGCGUCUAUUGGACACAGCAAUGCGCACGAAUGAGGUCAGGAAAAGAGACGUCUGAAAAAUACGCACAUAACCUACUUUUAUGGGAUCGCUAUUUUUCGAGCCACUUUUCUCAUUUCAGAGGCGCUUUAGGAGCAAAAUCCACCCAUCCACUGAUGUAAGUAGUCUCGGGGCUUUGGGCGUAAUUAAACUUGUGCUCGUUUUUUUUAACGAUUUUUUAAUGCACUACACAACCGUAUUUGUUACAGUUGUUGCAGAAAUAAAUUCUUUAAGCCGACACUGAUUUGCAUUUUCCGACGCAAGUCUUUUCUCUUAUUUCCAACUGAAUUUGUUCUAUCUGGUCGCAUUAACGCCACACAACACUGCAUCAGUUGAAUUGAAGGUUAGUCAGACAAUUUAAAAAAAAGUUGAUUCGAAAAGUUGUUGAUAUCUUUCUCUCCAUUUCCCUACAAAUGGCUACAUAUUCACCCACUUAUAACAAUGUGUAUAUAUGUGUGUGUGUGAUACAAUGUGCAAUUACCAACGCGCGAUAGCGGAAGUAAAAAAGAACAGCAUGAAAGAAAUAUUUCCUCCUUUCCGAUACUUGUUUCCAGAGCAUUUAUGGAUAGCGGAAAGGAACGAAAGCUUGAAGUAAAUUUAUUGUUUAAACAUGCCCAUGUGUACAUCACACGCCCACUGCUGCGCGAAUGGGGGGAAAACGGUUGAAUUUCGUUUCGCAUGCAUCGCACCAUCAUCAUGUGCAAGAGGAGCUUUUCUUCCUGCUUCCGGCAAAAAGGAAGCAAACAUGGUUACAGCAUUUAGUAGCCUUUUAACAGCCGAAUUGAAACGAGUAUCGUUUGAUGCACACACCAAAAUGCUGAAGGCGUUUGAAUUCUAACGAUGAAUUGCAAUUGAAACCGGAACAAAUGAAUGUGCCGCAAUCAUAUUUAAAGCGAAAUCUUAUGCAGAAUCGAUAGAAGCUGGCCAAGUGAAACUAUUUAUUACGCGUGCUCCCUCCAGCGCAAUAGACCUUACCUUUAAUAAGGAGUAGAAAAAAAGCAGUUAAAAAUCAUAACUACAUCGAACUAACUAACCGCGAAAUGCAACAUCACAAAAUCAACCGAGGGAGAAAUCGUUUACGUAACUAACCCCCCCCCCCCUCCCUCUAUCACACCGCCAAGACGAUGGCAGCAGACACAACAGAGCCGGACGGAUGCUCGGCAGCAGUUAUGCUGCCCUUUUUCCCAUAAUAAUGCAUUUUCACGCACGCACGAGCAUUCAUAGCACAGACAAACCGCGCCUCGGCGAGGUAAACAAACAACCCAACCAGCGCGCACACACGGGAAAGUCUUUGGCUGGUGAAAAACGAAAAGAAAAACAGUCAAACCUCCGGGUUCGUACUACAACACCACAGUAGUAGUAGUACUAGUAGUAGUGUUUCGUACAAAUCGUCGUGAUUGAUCGAGUUUUGCUACUCUACUGCUCUUUCGUUAGUGGUGCAAUAGAGUUUGUUGCUGCGCGCUCGAUCGCAAACGAUUUGCGUUAGUUUCUUUCUUCCAUGCGCUUAUGUGGUGCGUAAUACACCGUUGAUGAUGGGGAGGAGUUGCAUAGUUCCGUCAUUUUGCAUGCUUCCUCCUUGGUAGCUUGAUCAACAAAUCGAAGCACUAAUAUGACUGCUGUUAACGCAACAAGGAAUCGAAAAACAAACCGGAAAAAAAACGCAAAGAUAGAAAUUAUUAAUUGACUGAGAAAUGUAUGCAUACACACGUGCAUAUAAUUUAAAUUCAGUAAUAAUUUCCGUUUCACGUGGAACUCGAGAAUUACGACACACACAACAUACCGAGACACGUUAACAUAUGUACUUUGGCUGACUCAGCGGAGCUACCAAUAUGUUGAGGGUUUUUCUUCUAUGUCGUACUCUGGCGUGACUCAUGCACGACCCCAAGUCAGUUCUGUGUCGCUUUCCGUUUGACUCCAGUUUCAUUGUUAUCAUUGGGGAGGGGAUGUGGGGUGUGGACAAGAUAGCGAAUGAAGUUUGGUAAUGCUAAAACCCUCACAUACACAUACGUCAAUGUUGGCGCUUUUUGGGAAAGCAAAAUCAUUAUUUGGAGAUGAAUCGCGUUCGGCAAAGUUUCGGUGACUCAUUGGGAACUGGAGAGCCGAAAGUGGAA